UUUUGGAUCAAAAUCAACAAUGCAAAUAUCUCUUAUUAGAAAAAGAUUCUGAAAAAGAGAUUAGAACACAUGAGGAAGAACUGCUAUUAAUUAGAAAAGGUGAAAAUCUGAUUAAACAGGGUAAUCAACUCAUCAAGCAGGGUGAGCGUAAAAUAAAAGAAGGGGAAUUACUGCUUCGUACUCAUGGAUCCAAUGUAAACAGUGUACCAUGUAGAGUACCUAAAUCAUCUGCAGUCAAUACAUCUUGUACACCAAAACCUAGAUA